UUUUGUUACCGAUUUGGAAGCACUGGUUCAGAUUAGAAGACACCAUGUCGAAGUACCAUGCAAAAUGCUCUGUUGUUGGCUGUACAAAAGAGCACAAAACACUUCAUCGUGUCCCAGCCGAAGAGGACAGAAGAGCGGCAUGGAUUGAAUUUAUUUUUGAUGGCAAUAUCCAUGCUACAGUUGGCAAGAAACUGGCAACAAUCAUUUCGAGACUGACUGUUUCUCAAACUACGGUCAGUACAAGGCAGGAUUAGCCUGGGAAACUCAUCUUAAACGACGGUGCAGUUCCAACUUUGCGCGAAAUACAUGCAGACGAGGAACAUGAACUCCUGCGUUCUACAAUCUAGAAAAAGGAGCUGACCAAGAAGACUGUCCUGAAGAAUAUUGCCAAACUCAGUCCCCACUACCAGACGUCCUCUUUGGAGGCGUUCCAUAGUGUCAUUCUGCGGUUCGCACCCAAAAACGUGGUCUAUCCAUAUCUGGGAAUGCUGUGCAGAAUGCUAAUCGAGGACAAGCCACCACAUCUUCAAGGGAUCCUCUUUACAAACUGAGCUUUCCAAAAUCCAGGAAGGGAGAGUGGAUUUUGGAAAGCCAGAGCUUUGAAGACAGACGCUACAUUCCGGUAUGUUGAUGAUUUGAUGGACAUGAUCAUGGAGAAAGUCUUUGUUGACCCAUCGUCGUAUGGAGACGAGAUUCUGAAGAUAAACAUCCCGCUGGACCUGUCUUCACAAUAUGAGCAUCCAGACAAGGAGGAGGUCAUC